UACAGAGGGUGCAAGCGUUUGUUCGGAAUUAUUGGGCGUAAAGCGCGUGUAGGCGGCUUUGUACGUCGGGUGUGAAAGCCCUCGCUUAACCGAGGAAGUGACGCCCGAAACUGCAGAGCUUGAGUGCCGGAGAGGAUAGCGGAACACCCGGUGUAGCGGUGAAAUGCGUAGAUAUCGGGUAGAACACCAGUGGCGAAGGCGGCUAUCUGGACGGACACGUGACGCUGAGACGCGAAAGCGUGGGAGCAACAGGG
rnacentral:rRNA from 1 species